rnacentral:rRNA from 1 species
GACGAACGCUGGCGGCGUGCUUAACACAUGCAAGUCGAACGGAAAGGCCCUGCUUGCAGGGUACUCGAGUGGCGAACGGGUGAGUAACACGUGGGUGAUCUGCCCUUCACUUCGGGAUACGCCUGGGAAACUGGGUCUAUUACCGGAUAGGAGCCAUUUUUAUUGUGAUGGUUGGAAAGUUUUUUCGGUGUAGGAUGAGCUCGCGGCCUAUCAGCUUGUUGGUGGGGUAAUGGCCUACCAAGGCGGCGACGGGUAGCCGGCCUGAGAGGGUGGACGGCCACAUUGGGACUGAGAGACGGCCCAGACGCCUAAGGGAGGCAGAAGUGGGGAAUAUUGCACAAUGGGCGCAAGCCUGAUGCAGCGACGCCGCGGGGGGGAUGACGGCCUUCGGGUUGUAAAAUCCUUUCGCGAGGGAAGAAGCGUUUUGUGACGGUACCUAGAGAAGAAGCACCGGCUAACUACGUG